rnacentral:rRNA from 1 species
UGGGGAAUAUUGGACAAUGGGGGCAACCCUGAUCCAGCAAUGCCGCGUGUGUGAAGAAGGUCUUCGGAUUGUAAAGCACUUUCGACGGGGACGAUGAUGACGGUACCCGUAGAAGAAGCCCCGGCUAACUUCGUGCCAGCAGCCGCGGUAAUACGAAGGGGGCUAGCGUUGCUCGGAAUGACUGGGCGUAAAGGGCGUGUAGGCGGUUUACACAGUCAGAUGUGAAAUCCCCGGGCUUAACCUGGGAGCUGCAUUUGAUACGUGUAGACUAGAGUGUGAGAGAGGGUUGUGGAAUUCCCAGUGUAGAGGUGAAAUUCGUAGAUAUUGGGAAGAACACCGGUGGCGAAGGCGGCAACCUGGCUCAUGACUGACGCUGAGGCGCGAAAGCGUGGGGAGCAAACAGGAUUAGAUACCCUGGUAGUCCACGCUGUAAACGAUGUGUGCUAGAUGUUGGGUAACUUUGUUAUUCAGUGUCGCAGUUAACGCGUUAAGCACACCGCCUGGGGAUACGGCCGCAAGGUUGAAAC